CUUAGGAUGAACGCUGGCGGCGUGCCUAACACAUGCAAGUCGAACGAAGCGUCCCGCCCGAAGAAGAGGAGAGCUUGCUCAAAUCGGACUCAAUUGGGACGACUUAGUGGCGGACGGGUGAGUAACGCGUGGGUAACCUGCCGUGUGCAGGGGGAUAACAGUUAGAAAUGACUGCUAAUACCGCAUAAGCGCACAGUAUCGCAUGAUACAGUGUGAAAAGCCGAGACGGCACACGAUGGACCCGCGUCUGAUUAGCCAGUUGGCAGGGUAACGGCCUACCAAAGCGACGAUCAGUAGCCGGCCUGAGAGGGUGAACGGCCACAUUGGGACUGAGACACGGCCCAAACUCCUACGGGAGGCAGCAGUGGGGGAUAUUGCACAAUGGGGGAAACCCUGAUGCAAGCGACGCCGCGUGAGUGAAGAAGUAUUUCGGUAUGUAAAGCUCUAUCAGCAGGGAAGAAAAUGACGGUACCUGACUAAGAAGCUCCGGCUAAAUACGUGCCAGCCGCUGC
rnacentral:rRNA from 1 species